rnacentral:pre_miRNA from 1 species
UAGCAGCACAUCAUGAUUUGUAUGUGAUAGCAAAGAUGCAAAUCAUUAUUUGCUGCUUAA